rnacentral:lncRNA from 1 species
CCACGCCUACCAGGAAAAACCACACCCAAAUCAAUUAAUAAACGGGGAAUGAAGAAAGAAGCACUUUUGACUUGCUUUUCACAGCAUUUGAACUAUCAUUUCUUGUAUAAUGGACAUCGUAAGAGUUGUCUAAAGCCCUGCCAUUCAUGUUGGCUUCAAAUACUAUGCUAAAAGUCCUAAUUAUGGACUGUUUUGAACACGGAUCAUCCCCAUACUUCAUUCAAAUCCAACCAUCGCUUUUCCUUGAGUUUACAGGGCCUCCUCUUCCUCUUUGGCCUCUUCCUUGGCCACCUCCCUCUCUUCCUUGGCCACCUCCCCCGCUUCCUUGGCCACCUCCCCCUCUUCCUUGGCCAGCUGCCCCUCUUUUUUGUCCAUCUCCUCCUCCUUGGCCACCUCCUCUUCCUGCUCCUCUCCCGCCACCUCGUCAAUGCUUCCCUUUACCCCUAUGAUGUCUCCUUUUCCUCUAACAACAAAAAGAGAUUAAGAUCCUACUAACACAUGAAGGAAUAGUACUGUAUGUUCAUGUAGUAUCAUUAUUCUUGAAAGUAAUAUGAAAUUAACAAGUUAACUAAAGACAAAGUUACUCACUAAGGGAUAGCAUUUUACAG